UGGCUCAUGCCUGUAACCCCAGCACUUUGGGAGGCCCAGGAGGGCGGAUCACUUGAGGCCAGGAGUUUGAGAUCAGCCUGGCCAACAUGGUGAAGCCCCAUCUCUACUAAAAAAAUACAAAAAAAUAGCCAAGUGUGGUGGUGUGCACCUGUAGUCUCAGCUGCCAGGGAGGCUGAGGCACUAGAAUUGCUUGAACCCAGGAGGCAGAGGUUGCGGUGAGCCAAGAUCGUGCCACUGUACUCCAGAUUGGGCAACAGAGCCUCAAAAAAAAUAAAUAAAAAUAAAUGGGAACAACAAUAGCCAUCUUUUAGAGUUGCUGUCAGAAUUAAAGGAGAUAAUCAUACAAAGAACUAGCCCUUUCCAACUCACUGUAAAUCCUCAAUCCAUGUUAGCUUUUUGUAACAUUAAUAACAUAGCAAUAAUAAUUUGUAGCUUGAAUAAUAGUAAGUUGCCUAAAGAGAUGUAGCUAAGGAAGUCUGAGUUAGCCUUUGGACUCUGAACUGCCUCUGCAUUUAGCACACUGAUAUGCAGAGCAAGCUGUAUCCACACUGAUCUCAGUGUGCUGCAGUUUCAAAAGCUGUUCAGCUGGGAUCAAGGAAAGCAAUGACCGCCUACUCCCCAAAUCCUUUCUAUUUCGAAAUUCCCAGGUCAAUGAUGACCAUUGCCAGAGGGUCUCAGGAAGGUGGAAUCCACAUGGAGAGUUGGAAAAGGGAGGCCGAGGUGGGCAGAUCACCUGAAGUCAGGAGUUCAAGACCAGCCUGGCCACCAUGGCGAAACCUCGUCUCUACUAAAAAAUACAAAAAUUAGCUGGGUGUUGCAGUGGGUACCUGUAAUUCCAGCUACUUAGGAGGCUGAGGCAGGGAGAACUGCUUGAACCCAGAAAGCGGAGGUUGCAGUGAGCUGUGAUUGUGCCACUACACUCCAGCCUGCAACCCUGUCACAAAAAAAAAAAAAAAAAGAAAGAAAGAAAAAAAGAAAAAUGAGUGGGAACUGAGGAAGUCUAAAUAAAAUUCUAAACAGCAAGUAUAAACCUUUGUUUUUUCAAUGAAGAGGAAUCACUAGAGUGGACACAGGAGGAUGGUGGAAAUUGAAGACAGGUAAGAAUAGAACACAUUUAUUGACGGAGAGGAGGGAGCUAGCAGAAAGUAUGGUUAACAGAGAGAGAAAAUAAGUGAAGACCCCAGUCCUUAAGGAAGGACUGUGAGGAUGGGGCAAGAGGAGGGAAGGAAAAGCGUCACCUCUUCCACUGAGGGCUAGAAAGGAGGUGGAGACAAGUGCAUAGGCAUUUGCAUGUCUGAGCAGGGCUUUGAAGAGGGUAAAUGUCUAAAAGCCUCUAGCAUCUCAGAAAAGUUGAAGAUGAGGUUAUAUGCUACACUGGAGAGGAGUAGAGACAAGACUGGAAAAUUUGAGUGCAUGGCUUCAGGUCUGAAAUAAACAUUGGAAGGCGACAGAGAGGAAGUUGAACCAGUCUGUGUAGAAGGAUGUGAGCACUGGGAUUUCAAAGACGAGGUUUGUAGAGGCCCCAGUCUGCAUCUUUAUAUGAUUUCCUCCAGCAUUUUUGUAACAUUACAUUGCAUUUUGUAACAUUGCUGAGCCCCUCUUUGAGUAAUUGGCAGAAAAGGCUGAGUCCUCAUAGAAUUGUGUGCUAUUUCUAAAACAUAUCCAUGGUUUAAAAAGCUUUAAGAUCUAUAAACUAAAAUCCACCCAUUUUGCAGGAUGAUUCACAGUGUCGACAGUUUGGAUCAAUUUCCUGAAGAAAGGACAAAACUGGAAGCUAUUCUUUAUUCUUUCUUUCAGAGCAAGGCACUAUUACCAUGAGGACUAUGCUAAGAAUGUAUGAGAGAAAGCAAGAGAGAGCUGUCUCAGGAGAGAAGAGAAUUCCAACCAGUGAGAUGAGAAUUGCACAAAUCCUGCAGCCCAUCUCUGCCACAGCUCAAAAUUGUUGGGUAAGUAAUGACCCAGACCAUUGAAGAAAAUGAGGAAACUGUGCACACAGACUGAUGUCUUAUGUGACCAACAUGCAUAUAAGAAAUGGAAGCUUCCCCCUAUCUUUCCAGAGUUCAAAAAUCCUAUUGCUGAAUUCACCUCCAAUUCCAUGAAACAAUAUAAAAGAUCCUCCAUAAAGACCCCAGGUUAUAAUGUUUACAAUUUAUUUUGUACUCCUUUUCUCUGGUAAUUGAUGACUGCUAUUAUUAAUGAAGACAUUACAAGGAAUAAAAGGGCUUGCCUGCCACUUCUCACCACAAAACCGUGUGGCAUCAAACAGAAUGAAAUCCUUCUGACACUGACAGCUGGAGAAAACCUUGUCACCACAGUGACAGUGUCAAGUGUGGUGUGACAUCUCUGUGUGUGUUUCUUUUGCACCUAAUAACUUCGUUGCCAAUACAGACCAAAAUAAUGAAAGAAAACCUGCUUUUGCCAGCCCAAAGGAUUAACUGUACUGUUGAGAAAACUGCAGGAAUAUUUGACAUGAGAUCACAAUUUUUAAUUCUUUUCCCCCCAGGAUUCUGCAUGAAGUAUUUUUCUAUGAAGGAUUUAAAUAGAAUUACUUUUCCUCACAUUGGUCAUGGAGAGAAUUAAGACAUUAACUGUUGAUCCAAUUUAUACUGCCAUUUGAUCCCAUAAGUGCUAUACAGGACUCGGUUACUCAUGGAAAAUAGUUCCUGCCAGAUCAAACACUCUCAGGGCCAAAGUCACAAGAUUCUGACUUUACAUGCUCUGUUCUGCCUCCUUUCAUUUUGCCUCUUGGAUUGUCAUGAACUUCCUGAGCAAGAAGGCCAUCCACCAUGCAGUGUAAUGUCUUGCUAAGAGAAAUUAGUAUUCAGUCUGCUCAGGUUCCAGCAAGGACUUUCUUCAUGAAGAUCUUCAAGUGGAAUCAAGGUAGGAACUGUUAUCCUUUUCAGUCCUUGUGCUAUUCAUUCACACCUUGGAACAAAAACAAAGCUGAACUCUUUAGAGGGGAAAAUUGAUACCGCAUGGUUUCUGGUGUAUCUGCAACUUUUGGCUCUGGUUUGGAAAAGGGUGUGUAUGUGUCAUGCACACAUGUCUAUUUCAUCCUAUCUGACAAAUACCUUUGUGAAUUGCUUUGUUGACUAUUUGGGUGUUACUGCAGGUUACAAAUUUCUAAGAGGGCUGGGAGACGUCUUUAAAUCCCAUAGGCAUUGGAUCAUGUGUCCUCUAGUGGCCAUGAACACUAGUUUUAGAUGAAAGGUCUCAUUUUCAGAUAAGUAUGAGGAAUACUUUAUUUUCAGCCCUCUCUUUUAAGAGGCAUAAAAUCUUUUAGUGCUGAAAACACUUGUACUACCUAUAAUAAAGAAUUAUGUUUAAGUCAGUGUGUUCCUAAUUUGACUAUGGAAUUCAAACUUCUUGUAAGAGUCCACAGACCAGGUAAGACUUAAAGAUUUGCCAACAUUCAAAACCUCUGAAAAAUAACCCAUUACUUGGCAGCUAGGUGAUCUCCCUCCUAAUUUAUCUGGCUCUAUUUUCUUUUCUCUACCAUCACCAAUAGCAUCUUUCUAAUCCCUCACUCGGAUCUUCUCAUUCCUCCAUUCAUUAGAAUACCAGUUCAUUUCUUCAAUAAACAUGCCAAAUAGGAGUGGCUCUAACAAGACGGGAAGUUUUUUCUGAUGUGACAGUCUGUAUAUUUGCAGUCCAGGACUUGAAUGGUGACAGCAAGAGGACAGAGGCUCCAGGUUCCUUUUGUUUUAGUGCUCUGCCAUGUGUAGGGUGUUUCCCAUCCAAAUGUUCCAAGAUGUCUUACCACUGUGUCUGUAUUCCAGGCAAUGGGAAGGAGGGAAGGUGAAGGGGAGAGAAUUUUCCUUCCUUGCAAGAGCAUCAUCUGCAAGUUGUGUUUCUGCUCACACCCCAUUGACAGAGCUUUAUUGCUUGAUCACAGCUAGCUGCAAACGAGGCUAGGAGAUGUUUUAGUCAGUCUGGUAGCCUUUGUCACACUACAAUUUCUAUGUUAGAGGAGAGAGAGAGAGAACAUAUAUUAGGGAAUAGCUAACCAUCUCUGCUACACCUAUGACCUUCCAUUUGUCUCUUACAAUGAGUUUGUGAAGUUAGAAUUUUUAUCCCAAGUUUUCCACUGAGAAAAAUAAAGCUCAUAAACCUGAAAUAAUUUUAAUAUUGUCACCAUGUUAAGAAUGAUUAAGGGUGUGAAGUUUUGUCUGCUUCCAAGCUAACAAGGGAGCCGCCACAAUUGCAUGGAUUCUUGCAGAAGACACAGAUUCCUGAGUCAGACACAGAGGACUUUAUCACUCAUGGCACAGCAAGCAGCAUCAGCUCCAAUAUUCAUGUAGGUUCUUCUUGUCCUCCAAAUCCUAUGGGGCAUUAGGGGGUGGCCAAGGUAGAUGCUGCAAACGCAGUCGGUUUGCACCAAAGGUGAAAAACCCCGAGCUUAGGAAACUACAAGCUUUUAAAGAGGCUAUAAGGAAACCUGCCCAACUUUUUCCUUAGAAGGAAACCUUUUUUUUAGUAUCCUAGUUAAGAAACAAAUCUCUCUGCUUGAGAGAGGCACGCUACCUCUAACCUCCAAGAAGUUCACCAUACAAAUAUUCUUGGAAGGCAGUCCCAAAUAAAAGUCUCUUUGUUGACAAGGCUUGCAGAAACAUGAGACACCCCUGGACAUUUUUUUUCCCAACACACAGAUAGUCUUGCUAUCUUCAUUACAAUAAAGGUACUUCUUCAAGAAAUCUCCCACUGACCAUGCCUCCAUCAUCAGGGCAGUUCUCACUUUUUAUUGUAAUUGUUCACACCUCUGGAUCUCCAUAUUGGAAUAUCAGUUCCUUGAAGGCAGGGGCUAUGGCUUUGCUUUUAUAUCCCUAGCACCUAACACAUUACUUGGAAUAUGGAACAUGUUCAACAACUAUUUUGAAUGAAGUAUAUUAGAAUAAGAUUUACUUAAGGGAUAGAACAAAUCAGCAAGCAUUACAUGUUAUUGAAUCCACUUGAGGUUCUCUUUGUAUGGAUCCUAGGGUAGGUGGCUAAUUUUUAUGAUUCAGGCCUCAAAUACCACUCCCCUGACCACUGUAUUUAAAACAUCAUUCUAGAUAAGUCUAAUGAUAAGCACUUGUCACUACCUAAUAUUAUUCUGCUUGUUUAUUUAGGUAUCUGACUCCCCUUCUAGAAUAGAAACCCAUGACUUCAAGGACUUGCCUAUCUAGUUCAUGACUAUAUUUCUAUACUCUAAAAUAGUGUCGGGCCUAAAAUAGAAGUUUCAUAGGUAUUUUUGAAUGAAUAAGUGAAUGAGUAAAUUCAGCAAACAUUCACUAAGUUUAUACCAUCUGCUAGGAACAAAAUGUUUUACCAUGUCACAGUGGCCCACAAAGAAUACUGUUACUUUGGACAACUGAAACAAUUCAAUAUCUGGGUUGAGUUGAGUGGCAGCAUCACUUUUGUUGGGGCAGUGAGCUUCCAUUCCUCACUACAGAUAUUCCACUGCUGGCUUGAGCUGGGUCCUGAACACUGUCCUUUCCUGGUCUUGCUGGCGAAGGCAUCCUGUGCCAGCAGGCAGCUUCAUUGCCUUCCUCUCCUCUCCGAGCCCCUACGUAGCCAUCCUGCUUAUCAGGUGCACACAGUUCUGGUCAGGUAGCCUCAGGGAGCCCAUCUGAUUGGCUCUGUGGGUCCCCACACCUCCAAGAACUCCAUGCCUUUCAUAUGAUGCUUAACCAUUUGUUUAUCCUCAUUCUUACCUGGGCAGCAGGUAGCUAUCAGACCCUCUCUCACCUUUCCUUUACUCUUCUUCCACCUCUACUUGAUCUCCUGUAGCAGCCUUGCCCAUGAAGUCAUGCCUGUGGCUCCACUGAGAAAUUCGAUUAAGUAUUCCAAUACUGCUGUGAAACGAAGUGAUCUGAUUCCGGUGAGACAAUUUAUCUUGCAAGGUAUAUCAAUACUCAUUUUAUUCAUUAUUUACCCAUUUCCAAAAAUGAUGUGAAGUGGGAAAAUGUCAAUGUUGAACAACAAAAAUAGUAAAAUCCCUUUGGGGGGAAGAUCAUUAUAAUUUGUUUAAAUGCUGACAAAUAUUGAUAUCAAUGGUAAACGUAGAAGUGGGGCAUGAGGGAAAUUACCAGAGGGAAAUGACUAGGAUAUUUUUCAAGCCAUCAUUGAUUCAAAAUGAAUUAUGAGAGUAGAGCUUUGCAUGGAAAAUUAAAGGCCUAAUACUAAAAAUAAUUAUUAAGCAUUUUCUUACUUUUGUAGAUGAAGAAGUUACCUCAGAGAAGUCAAAUAAUUUACCCAGAGUCACAAAAUAAGCAAAUGAUGGAAUAUUCAAAUCCAGGUCUUCUGACUCUACCUCUAUCUGCCUUAGAGGUUUCUGAAGUAUUGAUAAGAUGGAGGCUGGAAGAGCUUGAAACAGACCAUAUAAAGCCAGGUCUGAGCUGGAAAAGCAAAGAGGCCCAAGGAACAGCACAGACCCUGACUGGUGGGGUAUCUGUGUAUUUUAAAUAACAAAUACAACAAAGAUUCAAGGUUCAGCAUGUACCCAGAUGUUUCCAUUAUUGAUAUAUAUAUGCCAGUUUAAAAUAUUUAAAUGGAAAACAGUUUGUGUCCACUUCAUUUUAGAACUAUGCCAGUUACAGGAAUCACCCCAGUAUCAGUUAUGUCUUACUCAUGUCAAAGAACCAGGGUCAGAAGAAAAAAAUCUCCAGUAAAGAUCCUUGCAACUCAGGAACACUCUUUCCUCUGAAUACUGCUAUGAACUAGAGUUAAAAGAAAGCAUUUUUUAAAAGAAAUGAUUUAUUCGUUCCUCAUGAUAAACAUAUCAAAACAUCACAUUGUACCACAUAAAUAUAUGCAAUUAUUUGGUUAACUGAAAAUAAAA
rnacentral:lncRNA from 1 species